UAACAGGAUUCCCUUAGUAACUGCGAGUGAAGAGGGAAGAGCUCAAAUUUGUAAUCUGACGGUCUUCGGCCGUCCGAGUUGUAAUCUGUAGAGGCAUCGUCCGCGUCGGCCCGUGUACAAGUCUCCUGGAACGGAGCGUCAUAGAGGGUGAGAAUCCCGUCCGUGGCACGGGGACCCCCGAUGCUUUGUGAGGUGCCCUCGAAGAGUCGCGUUGUUUGGGAAUGCAGCGCAAAAUGGGUGGUAAAUUCCAUCUAAGGCUAAAUAUUGGCGAGAGACCGAUAGCGAACAAGUACCGUGAGGGAAAGAUGAAAAGCACUUUGAAAAGAGAGUUAAACAGUACGUGAAAUUGUUGAAAGGGAAACGCUUGAAGUCAGUCGCGUCUCGCGGCACUCAGCCUCGCUUCGGCUUGGUGUACUUGCCGUGCGGACGGGUCAACAUCAAUUUCGGCUGGCAGACAAGGGUGAGGGGAAUGUAGCGUUGUUUCGACAACGUGUUAUAGCCCCUUGUCGGAUGUGCCGGUUGGGGAUUGAGGAACCGCAGCACGCCCUUGUGGUCGGGGGGUUCGCCUCACGUAACGUGCUUAGGAUGUUGGCAUAAUGGCUUUAAGCGACCCGUCUUGAAACACGGACCAAGGAGUCUAACAUGCCUGCGAGUGUUCGGGUGGAAAACCCUUGCGCGUAAUGAAAGUGAAAGUUGGGAGCCUCCGUAAGGGGGUGCACCGACGCCCGGCCCUGACGUUCUCUGACGGUGCUGCGGUAGAGCAAGCAUGUUGGGACCCGAAAGAUGGUGAACUAUGCCUGAAUAGGGCGAAGCCAGAGGAAACUCUGGUGGAGGCUCGUAGCGAUUCUGACGUGCAAAUCGAUCGUCAAAUUUGGG
rnacentral:rRNA from 1 species